AGCUCUGUGCAGUGGCAGUAUUGUGGCCAAUGAGGUUUAUCUGAGGCAUGAUUGUUGCUAAUUGAAGCACUAUCAAUAGAAACAUACUUAAUAUGGUCAGAAACAAAUAAUAGGCAUUACCUAUUCUAAGAG
rnacentral:sRNA from 1 species